AGUGGGGAAUCUUGGACAAUGGGGGCAACCCUGAUCCAGCCAUGCCGCGUGAGUGAUGAAGGCCUUAGGGUCGUAAAGCUCUUUCGCCUGUGAAGAUAAUGACGGUAGCAGGUAAAGAAACCCCGGCUAACUCCGUGCCAGCAGCCGCGGUAAUACGGAGGGGGUUAGCGUUGUUCGGAAUUACUGGGCGUAAAGCGCACGUAGGCGGACUGGAAAGUUGGGGGUGAAAUCCCGGGGCUCAACCCCGGAACUGCCUCCAAAACUAUCAGUCUAGAGUUCGAGAGAGGUGAGUGGAAUUCCAAGUGUAGAGGUGAAAUUCGUAGAUAUUUGGAGGAACACCAGUGGCGAAGGCGGCUCACUGGCUCGAUACUGACGCUGAGGUGCGAAAGUGUGGGGAGCAAA
rnacentral:rRNA from 1 species